GCGGCAGAUCUGAUCGCAGUGGGAGGCACGAGGAGGGCAGUCCUGCUUCUCACUAUCAGCAAAUGUGAGCUGUUCGCUCAUGCAGCAGCUCCUCUGGAUGGCAGGCAAUUCAGUGCUGCUAAAAGAAAACAAAAAGGAUUGCUAGGACCUGAACAUAUUUGCAAAUUGAACUAACCUGAGCUCUCACUACCAAGCUCGUUCCAGUGGGGACUCAGAACAUCAGAGUGGAAGACAGACUACUGUCACACUGCUAGUGAUGUACAGGAACAGCUCACCGCAGGGCUGAGGUGUCAUUGCAUGGGUUCUUUAAUCAACACUGAACCUGCCAGAGACAAUCCAGUUCCAUUCUUUGAGGCAGAGAAAUGGUGGCACCUGUUUUUUUCCAUG